rnacentral:rRNA from 1 species
GUGCACCAGUCGAGAAUUUUUCUCAAUGGGGGCAACCCUGAAGGAGCGACGCCGCGUGGAGGAUGAAGGCUUUCGGGUUGUAAACUCCUGUCAUUUGGGAACAAGUUGGACGCAGUAACUACGCGUCCAUUGAUAGUACCAGAAGAGGAAGGGACGGCUAACUCUGUGCCAGCAGCCGCGGUAAUACAGGGGUCCCAAGCGUUGUUCGGAUUCAUUGGGCGUAAAGGGUGCGUAGGUGGCGCCGUAAGUGGGGUGUGAAAUUUCGGAGCUUAACUCCGAAACUGCAUUCCAUACUGCGGUGCUUGAGGACUGGAGAGGAGACUGGAAUUCAUGGUGUAGCAGUGAAAUGCGCAGAGAUCAUGAGGAAGACCAGUGGCGAAGGCGGGUCUCUGGACAGUUCCUGACACUGAGGCACGAAGGCCAGGGGAGCAAACGGGAUUAGAUACCCGUGUAGU